rnacentral:lncRNA from 1 species
UCAGCUGCCAAAGGACAUCAUCCAUCUCCAACCUCCGUCAGGACCGAGCGUCUCCUGAGAGAUAGAGAGAGCGAGAAAGUUAGUCAUGGAUCAGAAGACAAAUGAGAAUCCCAACUCCACCUCCCCUCAGAAGCACAUGAAGAACAGGUCCAAAUCAACAGAGGAGAUGCAACACUCGAAGAAGGCCUUUUCCUCACAAAAAUCCCUCCCAGGCCGACCAGAGCUGGACAGAGUGAAGGUGAACUUCUAUUUCACAGCAGUAGAAAUGCUGCAAUGUGUCUAUACCCCUGCCUCUCUUCCAGUAGAGUCGUCUGAGAAAGUGUUCGGAUCAUCAUUGCAAUAAUAAUUAUCUGUGCUGGGUCAGAGAUGUAUUUUCCUGUCUGUGUUGCAGGAGUGUCCUGAUGGCUCUGACACGCCCCCGUCCUCCACUGAAGAAGAGAAGUGAUAAAUAAAAGGAUCACUGGGACAAUAGAGCUGCCAUCAAGCAACAACAUCAUCAUACAACAACAUGACACGUACAUUAAAAUGUACAUAUGCAAACAAAGAAACAUAGAAAAUAUUGAGGAUAACAGUGAACUAAAUUAGAAAAUAUACAAGUGGCGAACAGAUGAUUGGUUGAAAGAAACUGUUGAAAAUAAUGGUUACUUGAACGCACGCAUGCACACACACACACGCACGCACGCACGCACGCACGCACACACCCACACACACACCCACACACACACAUACACACACACACACACACACACACACAAUCUGAGACAAUCGCAUGCAAACAAAAGGACACCCAUGAUGAUGCUGUUUCAUUGUACUGUACUCUGAGAGUCAUUAACAUACCAGACUGAACAAGUAUUGACAAUAAAGUGAUUUCUCAUCUAUUCUCAUUCACACCAGUAAUCAAAUUCCUCCUCCGCCUGCAAAUACCAGAUGUAAUGACAAAAAGAAG